rnacentral:lncRNA from 1 species
GUUUGUUUUUUGUCUUAUGCUGCUUCUCCUUUUUUAUUUUGUUAACUGCACUUUAUUUUCCUUUUAGGAAUCUUCUUUUCCACGUGGUGUAAAGUGCUUGUGAGGCUGUAAAUCACCUUGCUGACUGACCUUCCCAAGACAGACCAGGGCUCUCACUUGAAUCUUGAGCAGGACAAUCAAGGAUGGAAAAGCGUUGUUGGAGCCCAGACAUUCCAGCAGCAGCACCAUGACAUGACUGGUAGUAAUUCCUGCUGCACAGUCAGACAGCAUCCCUGGUUUUCACCUUCUACUUGAUCUUCCGUUCAGCCUUUCUAUCAGUUUUUUAACCAUGCAAAAAUCCUGCUAAUAAAUUACUUUCUUGCUUAAUUAUUAAGCAUUGGGUUUCUAUUGCCUCUCAGAAACCUCAACUCAGACUUCCCAACAGAGAAAACUGCAAUGCAUUCUACAACUGCAAGGAACACUGACAGCUGUCAGGAUUACAAAAGGAUAGAAAUGCUGAGGAACUGUCUCAGUUGACAGAAGGCUAAGGAGAAAUGAACACUAAAUGAGAUCUCCAUUGGACCCUGCAUGAACAGGAAAGGCAACAGGGGAGGCAAGUCCUUCUCUAGUUGAUCCUCACAUAAGAACCAAUCCCUGACCAACACCUUAAUGACCAGCUUGUGAGACCUUAAGAAGAGCCAACUAGGUCACCCCAGACUUCUGAGCUGCAGGUACACUGAAAUCAUAUUCUUAUAGCUGCUUAGAUAGUGGUCAUUUGUUACACAGAGAGAAGAAGAAGAUAACAGUGUUGUGAUGCUACAAUGACCAAUUACAGAAUGAAGAAUCUUCUAUGCUACAAGAAAUUUGUUUCUCAAAAAUAUCCAUGCCUCAAAAAUCAAAACAACAACAACAAAAAAGGAUGAAAGGAUAUCAUUAAAGGAAAAAAGAAAAUUGGGAACACAAUCAAAUGCAUUAUGUAGGCUUUUCAAGGAUGCUGAUUCAAAUGAACCGAUUGCAAAAGAAAUACUUUGAGAAAAUUGGGGAGUUUGGAAAUAGCCUGAAUAGUAAGUUACAAUAAUGCAUUAUUAUUCUUUAUUUAGUAGGAUAAUGACAUAGUGUUUGUGGUUAAAAUAUUUAUUACAAAUAUAUCUUGAAGUAAUUCUGGAUACAAUAAUAUGCUGGAAAUUUUCUUUAAAAUAAUCCAGGAAAAUAUAGUAGUAAUUGCUGGAAUUGGGUGAAGAGUACAUGAGAGUUCAUUAUGCUUUUAAUUGUUGUGUCAAUAAUUUUUACUUUUUGUAUGUUUGGAAGUUUUCAUUUCAAAAAAAAUAAAUUAAUUAAAUACAGGAACAUUUCUGGAACCAAAUAUGUAGAAGAGUAAAUCAAUAAAAGCAAGAAGUCAAGAAUGAGGAAAUUGUAGUUGGGUUUGUAGUUCACACCUGUAAUCCAGGUACUUUGAAGGCUGAGGCAAGAAGAUCACAAGUUUGAGGCCAGUCUGGGCAACUUAGCUAGACCCUGUUUCAAAAUAAAAUUAAAAAGGCAGGGAUGUAGCUCAGUGGUAGAGUGUCUGCCUACCAUAUGUAAAGCCCUGAGUUCAACCCCCAGUACUGCAAAAGGAAAAGGAAGAGGAGGAAAAAGAGGAGGAGACAAAGAAGAAAGAAGGAAAACAAGGCGAGAGCAGGAACUGAUGUUUAUAUAUUUUUAUUUUUUUUCUACAUUUUGGUGCUGGGAAUUGAACUUAGGCAUGGUCUACUACUGAGCUAUAGCCUCAUUUUUUUUUUUUUGAGAUGGGAUCUUGCUAAUUUGCUGGGGCUGGCCUCAAACUUGUGAUUCUCUUGUCUCAGCCUCCCAAAUGGCUGGGAUUAUAGGUGUACCAGUGUGUUUGACUUGAAAAUAGAACUGACACCCUCCAUAAAAGGAAAAAAACUGAUUGGUAUUUUAUUAUUAAUUGUGAAAGCUUAAUUUAAACUCUCUCUCUCUCUCUCUCUCUCUCUCUCUCUCUCUCUCUCUCUGUCUCUCUGUCUCUCUCUCUCUCUCUCUCCCCUUGUGUGUGUGUGUGUGUGUGUGUGUGUGUGUGUGGUUUGAAUUCACAAGCAACAGUUUUAAAAGGGACUUUUUCAUAAUAAAUGACCAAUACCCUUUUAAACUGUCAGGAUUACAAAAGGAUAGAAAUGCCGAGGAACUGUCUCAGUUGACAGAAGCCUACAGAGAAAUGAGCUCUAAAUGAGAUCUCCAUUGGACCCUGCAUGAACAGGAAAGGUAAUUGGCAAAACUUAAAUACAGUUGGUAAGUUUUUAAUAGUAGUAUAUUGGUAUUAAUUCC